GGAAAUCCUUUUGGAGAGGGCCAGAUAGACGUGUUUGGAAACAUUGCGGGGGAAAGAGUUGAGCCCAAUGUAUUCGGAGACAACAAUAUAAAUGUCUUUGGAGACGUCCAAGGCGAGAUGGUCGGUAGUCUGUCGUCCCCAGAUGUUGUAUCAUCCGUAGGAGCUAUAUCAGUAGUAGAUCCUGCAGUACAAGAUCCUGGUGUUGUUGACACUCCUGUCGGUGCCCCAGUAGCAGCAGGCACCGUUGGUGCCGACACUAAUGGAAUUGACGUUGCCACCAACGCUCCAGUUGUAGAUCAAGUAGUAGCGGACACCGCCGUUGUUGAUAAUCCUGCGGUUGUCGAUGUGACCAAUCCAUCUCCAGUGGUAGAUCCUGUGGUACCAGACACCGUUAUUGUUGAUGCACCUGUGGGUGACACGGUCCUCACUCCAGUAGUAGAUGCAGCCGUUGUUGAUACGGCGGAUAUUGUUGAAGAAAUCAAACCGGAAACGCAGCAGACGGGAAUGUUGAACCCGACAUCAAAUACUGAUGCACUUACCCCAGUUGAUCCAAAAACUGACACGCCGAAGAAAGCAGUUGUCAACAAACCGGAAACUAAAGAAGCACCAGCUCCCAAAAGGGACAGAAUCAUAGGUGGAAUUGGCGGAGGAGGAUUCAUGGGUGGCAAAGAGAAAGCGGGUCUAUGUUCCUCUCAGUGUCGGACAAACACGGACUCUUGUUACCGUCCUGUGAACUGUACUCACUACGAAACAUGCUUCGCCCAAACUGGCAGUCUUUGUGAAUGUACAAAAAUUCGCUGCGCAUUUGGAACUUUCUGGAAUCCUCAGAUAAACAACUGUGAUGCAGUAAACAGCGUUAAUUGUGAAACAGAUCCAUGUCUGACAAAGAAACCAACGGAGACCUAUCCAAGCGGUAUCAACUGCAGAAGUUACUACAAAUGCUCUUGGCAAAACACUUCUAUGCCUUAUUGCUGCGAGGAAGGCUUUGCCUACGAUGACGCCGAAGGACGGUGUGUAGGAGACGAGGCCUGCACCAUUCCUUGUUCUGUGGACUCCUCCAACUUCAACCGUCAAGGCGAUGUUACCACCAAAGCCCCAAAAUACGAGUGCUUCUUCCGUCCAGUUAAAGGCAGGCCAAAGAAAUAUUGGAACGAGAUGGCGAAUCAGGAGCAGGACUGUCCCGCGUCCCUCGUCUAUAGACCGGAUAUCUGUGUGUGUGGAAACCCUUUGGAGUCGGAAACGGAGAGCAAAGUCGUGCCAAUCCCGGUUAAGAAAUGUGAUCCCGUGGUGUUCGUUGACUUUACGGGGAAAUCAAUUGUCAACAAGUCCCCUCGCAGAAUCUGGAUCGAUCCCACGGACACCCAGAUCACAAGAUCAGAAAAGGGAGCACAGUACGGACGAUUCAACGGCAUAACAUCACGUAUAUCCAUCCCAUUUCUUUCCGGAAUGUCAAUAACCAAACUGAUGGCGCGUCUCCGGUUCUUCACAGCCGGAACUCAAGGUCCAGACUCCCAAGUGUUGUUUUCUAAUUGUGAAACCGAAACGGUCAGAUGGAACUCUCCCGAAAUAAACAAAGACCUUUCUCCUUCCAUCGCCAUUAUUUUGAACCGGAAGCUUAACAGACUUGUCUUCUUGGGCUCGACCGAGGACCGUGCAUCAGAACAAGUGAUGAUGCUCCUACCAUUUAAGAAAAACGACUGGAAUAACGUUGAGUUGAUGUUUGACGGCGCCGAGCUGUCCGCCAGAGUGAGGGUUGUGGGUAAAGAUAAGCAGGCACUGGAGUUCAAGAAUUCUACAGCACUUACAGGUCGAUUGACGCCUGCCCAGAAACCAAUGCAGAUCGGACGCUGUAACGACCAAGAUGGCUUCUUCGGUUAUUUGGACAUGGUGAAGAUUUAUGACUGCACGCCGUGAAAAUAUUUCCACUGUAAUAUUUUUUUAACGUAUAUUUAUUUCACUUUUUUAUACGAAAACGUGUGUAAUGUCUUCGCUCAAUUUUUUUUUUAUUUGUGUUGAAUUAAUGUAUUGCUGAUUAAACAUUUCUUA
rnacentral:misc_RNA from 1 species